AUCCAAUUCAUUUGUAGGGUUUGUGCUUUUUGACUUGGAUUCUUGAGUUUGGAUGUGGAAGAUGCUAGUUUUGAAGCAUCAUUUUUUCUUUUUUUGGGAGAUUUAGUUUCUCUGGCUUGGUUGGAUUUUAGGAUGCAGAGGGUUUCUUGGAUUUGGUGUUUAUUUUCUGGGUUUUGAAGGGUUCUUGAUUUUGCCUCUUUUUACAUAUGUAUAUGUAAAAUAUUCAAUGAUCAACAAUGGGUUCAGUUUAUUUACUUGAA
rnacentral:misc_RNA from 1 species